GGGGGUGUAGCUCAGCUGGGAGAGCGCUUGAAUGGCAUUCAAGAGGUCAUGGGUUCGAUCCCCACCAUCUCCACCA
rnacentral:tRNA from 1 species